GACGAAGGAUGCAAGCGUUAUCCGGAUUCAUUGGGUUUAAAGGGAGCGUAGGUGGUCUUAUAAGUCAGUGGUGAAAUCUCUGGGCUUAACCCAGAAAUUGCCAUUGAUACUGUAGGACUUGAGUAUAGUUGCCGUUGGCGGAAUAUGACAUGUAGUGGUGAAAUACAUAGAGAUGUCAUAGAACACCGAUUGCGAAGGCAGCUAACGAAACUAUAACUGACACUGAGGCUCGAAAAGUGCGGGGAUCAAACAGG
rnacentral:rRNA from 1 species